rfam:Rhodopirellula sallentina SM41 cSM410153, whole genome shotgun sequence.
GCCUCCGUAGCUCAACUGGAUAGAGCACUGGUCUUCGGAACCAGGGGUUAGGGGUUCGAAUCCCUUCGGGGGUA